rnacentral:rRNA from 1 species
UUAGAUUAAUUAAUUUGUUUUUUCCUUUUUGUAUUACGGUUGUUAGAUUAAAUUAAUAUUAUUUUCUCGAUUAUUAUAGAUCUAUGCUUUAGUUGUUAGAUGCCUUUUUUGUGUUAAUAAAUAGUUGCUUAAUAUUUUAGUUUAGUGGUGAUAUGUUUUCGAUUUAGUAAAUCUAGUUAAUUAUAUACUAGUAUUAGCUUGUAUAUAUGUUAGGUUUUAAUAUUGUUUAUUUUAUAAAAAUUUUUGAUAUUAAUAAGUUAUUUGUUAUAAGAGUAUUAUAUUAUAUUUUUCGAUGGUUUUUUUUUGUUUCUAUUAUUAGCGGAUUACUAUAAAAUACACUUUUUAUCACUCUGAGGUUUUGCAACUGUUUAUUAAAAACAUUUCUUAUUUAAUAAUAAGUUUGCUCUGCUCAAUGAUUAAUUAAAUAGCUGCAGUAUUUUAACUGUACGAAGGUAGCAUAAUUACUUGUCUAAUCAUUUUAGAAUUGUUUGAAUGAGUUAAUGAUGAAAUUCUAGUAUUAUAAUGUGUUUAAUUAAUUUAAAUUUUCUGUAAAGAUGCAGUUUAAAUAUUAAAGACUAAAAGACCCUAUAGAGCUUUAGAUGAUUUUUUUAUUUCUUUUAGAUGGGGUAUCUGUUUUUAUGUUUAAAGCUAGUUUGUUAUUAAGCUUCCUUAGGGAUAACAGGGAAAUAUUUUUUAGGAGUCCUUAUUAAAAAAUUUGUUUUCUACCUCGAUGUUGAAUUAUAGUUUAACUUAGGAGCAGAAGCUUAGUUUGUUUUAGUCUGUUCGACUUUUAAUACUAUUCGUGAUUUGAGUUUAGACCGAUGUGAAUCAGGUUGGUUUUUAUCUUAAAUCUCAAGCAUUGGUACGAAAGGAUUAUGUUUGAAUUUA